UACGUAGGGGGCAAGCGUUAUCCGGAUUUACUGGGUGUAAAGGGAGCGUAGACGGUGUGGCAAGUCUGAUGUGAAAGGCAUGGGCUCAACCUGUGGACUGCAUUGGAAACUGUCAUACUUGAGUGCCGGAGGGGUAAGCGGAAUUCCUAGUGUAGCGGUGAAAUGCGUAGAUAUUAGGAGGAACACCAGUGGCGAAGGCGACUUACUGGACGGUAACUGACGUUGAGGCUCGAAAGCGUGGGGAGCAAACAGG
rnacentral:rRNA from 1 species